rnacentral:pre_miRNA from 1 species
AAUGUGAACGAGCAACAAAACGUGGAUUGAUACUAUCCGUUUUGUUCGCUAGUUUGCGUC